rnacentral:RNase_P_RNA from 1 species
CGAGUUGACUAGACAAUCGCUGCUUUAUCGUUGUGCCUAAUGUUUCGACAAAGGGUAGACAGAUAAAGGGGAGGAAAGUCCGGGCUCCAACGAGCAGGGUGCCAGGUAACGCCUGGGCGGCGCAAGCCGACGACAAGUGCAGCAGAGAGAAGACCGCCGAUGACCGCUUGCGGAACAGGUAAGGCUGAAAGGGUGCGGUAAGAGCGCACCGGGUUACUGGUAACAGUAAUUGCAGGGUAAACUCCACCCGGAGCAAGACCAAAUAGGGUUUCAUUACUUUAAAUAGUAUACGCGUGGCUCGCGCGGAAACCGGGUAGGUUGCUUGAGCCUUAGAGCGAUUUAAGGCCUAGACGAAUGAUUGUCACUUCUUCGGAAGAUACAAAACCCGGCUUAUGUGUUGACUCGCAAG